rnacentral:rRNA from 1 species
GGUGCUGGCGACCGGCGAACGGGUGAGUAACGCGUGAGCAACCUACCCCGAGGAGGGGGAUAACCCGGGGAAACCCGGGCUAAUACCCCAUAAGCGCACGACCCGCAUGGGUUGUGUGAAAAGGGUGGCCUCUGCACUGCAAGCUGCCGCCUCGGGAUGGGCUCGCGUCCCAUCAGGUAGUUGGUGGGGUAACGGCCUACCAAGCCUACGACGGGUAGCCGGCCUGAGAGGGUGGUCGGCCACACCGGGACUGAGACACGGCCCGGACUCCUACGGGAGGCAGCAGUGGGGAAUCUUGGGCAAUGGGCGCAAGCCUGACCCAGCGACGCCGAGUGGAGGAAGAAGCCCUUCGGGGUGUAAACUCCUGUCGCCGGGGACGAUGCGGGGAUGGGUUAAGAGCCCAUUCUCGUGACGGUACCCGGAGAGGAAGGGACGGCUAACUACGUGCCAGCAGCCGCGGUAAUACGUAGGUCCCGAGCGUUGCGCGAAAUUACUGGGCGUAAAGAGCGCGUAGGCGGGCCAGUAAGUCAGAGGUGAAAGCCCCCGGCUCAACCGGGGAAUUGCCUCUGAUACUGCUGGCCUAGGGUCCGGAAGAC